CGCUACUCAAUCUUUCCAUCUAUGAAGAAAACAAGAAGAAUAUAAUAUCUUCAGGUGCUGUACCUAGUAUUGUUCAAGUGUUAAAAACAGGAAGCAUGGAGGCAAGAGAGAAUGCUGCAGCAACACUUUUUAGCCUCUCAGUUCUCGAUGAGAACAAAGUCACCAUUGGAAUGUCGGGAGCAAUCCCUGCACUUGUUGUUUUGCUAGACGAAGGUGGCCGGCGAGGCAAGAAGGAUGCAGCAACAGCCCUAUUCAACCUGUGCAUAUACCAAGGUAACAAAGGAAAAGCAGUAAGAGCUGGUGUUAUUCCAACAUUAAUGAAGCUUCUGACAUUACCAACUGGUGCAAUGGUUGAUGAAUCCCUUGCCAUCUUGGCUAUACUGGCAAGUCAUUCUGAAGGAAGAGUAACGAUUGGAAAUUCAGAUGCAGUCCCUGU
rnacentral:lncRNA from 1 species